AUACUUACCUGGCAGGGGAGACAACAUGAUCAUGAAAAUGGUUGUCUCAGAGCAAGUUUUAUCCAUUGCAUUCUCAAUGUGCUGACCCUCACAUUUUCCCAAAAUUCGAGAGACUCAGCUGGAUGGAUUGUGUAGUGGAAGACUGUUUUCACAUUAACUCCUA
ensembl:snRNA Rnu1-18 RNA, U1 small nuclear 18